UUGCAUCAAAAGAUGUAAACCAGCUCGUGUCGAUGCUAUAGUAAAGAGUAGACCCAUGCACCUUCAAAUGUCAAAGGUGUCGAAAAGUGAACAAUAUUCUUUCAUAGAGAAAGGGAGAUCCAAAGAGAGAGAGCAGGGGAAGAUAAUAGUGGCUAUGACUGUUAAGUGAGAAAGGUCAACAAAGUCCAGUUCCCACAUUCUCUUCUCUUGGUGGUAAGCAAGUGGGAGUGGGUGGCCGUCCCUCCAAUCUUGUCCUAUACUGUUUAUCUACACACAGUAUCCUAUACUCUAAUGCUUAUUUGGAUUUUGAAGAACAAGAAUAGACAGGAGAAUGCUCCAAUGGUGCUGUCUCCCCCAGAACAAGGAGGUGUCUAAAUACAAGGAAAAUAACAUCCGAGAAGUGACAUGGGCUUUGUCGAUCUAGCAAUGUCAAGAAACCUUGAACCAUAUAGGUAGAUGGGUGGCAAAUAUGUUCAUGUAAUGAAAUACGAUGUUACAGGGUUAUCUAAUAGCUAAUCGAUCUUGUUUGCUUGUGUAAUAA